AUUGCCUGAUAUGUUCAGGACUAGGGAACAGAGCCCUGUGAAGAACUCUCGACACACACACAUGCACACACACACACACACACACACACACACACACACACACACACACACACACACACACACACACACACACACACACUCCCAGACUGUACAUGUUGUCCUAAUUACAUGAGCUGUAGCCUGUUUGAUGCUACAGUGUAUGCGGUUAAUGCUGGCUGUGUUAUUUAGGCUCUGUGUGUGAGAGACAGAAAUGAGGUACCAUUAAUCAUCCAACAACAAGGAGUCCAGGUCAUACCUCUUCCUUGCUUAAUGUUCAGGCUUAUAAAACAUUUUUACCAAAACAAGUUGUGCAACAUUUUGUUUAACUGACCCAGGGGUCACAGAAACCCAGAAGGCUGCAGGAGUGGGUUUGUCUGGUUGCUGGUUUGAUUCCCUUAGUGUGGAAAAGUCCUGGUAAGAGGGAACAAGUGAUGGUGCUGCAAGGUUACCCUGUAGAUGUUUAUCGCAUUUGACAAAUACUAAAAUAUACACAUGUAUUUUACUUGUGUGUAUACUUACUCUAACAUUUCUCCAACAUCCACAAUCUGGAGUUGAGCUCAGAAGACAAUCACGGCAGUUUCUUUAAUUAAGUUUCUGUUUGGCAGAUACAUUUAAAACCCUCAAUGCACCACUCAAAACACAUCAACAAGAAAAAACUGUAUAUGUUCUUAAACCUUAGCUUUAUAAAAGUGAUUUUCAAAUUGACAUGUGCAAAAUAAUUGAAAUGGAUUAAAUGGAAAUGCAUCUCAAGGUGGAAAUACUUUGAAUAUUGGUGCCCUUGCACUAAUGUUAAGUAAAGUAAUAUGAUAGUAUCAGCAUCCUAAGGGAGUGAACCAAGAAGAUUAUAGCAGCAUUUAUUAAAAUAACUUUCCAAUGUUUCCGUUAUCCCAUUUGUUAGUGGCCAAACAUGUUACAAUAUGCUGUAUUUUCUUUCUUUCCUUGCCAUGAUUUGAAUGGAAGUUGUUGUAAUUUGAUCACUUUGGGCGUUUGCACAUUGCAAAGUCAAUUUUAAAACUUCUUAGCAAUGUUUUAGGGCUUAAAAAUAUGCAUGGUGCCACCAUUCAGUGAAAUAUUUUAGUAUCCUUAUCAUCAAAAAAGUAUUGUCCUGCAGUUCCUUUCCUGAGUCAUGUUUUGGAGGCAAAUGGUGCAUGCAGGAUUGAUUCACAGCUCAGGUCAAAGGGGACGCUCUCCGUUGUGAAGCUUGUCGUCGUGGUAGGAGUAAAAAAGGUCUGAUGGUGAAAAACACGAUAACAUGUUUAUCCUCUGCACCUUGCAAAUCUAUUUUGCUCUGGUGACAUCGUCAACCCCCUGCCGCCUCAUUUGUCAGUCCUAUGGUUUCCAUGACAACUGUCACCAGGAAGCUGACCCCCUCCGAGUUGUGACCAUUUCCUUUCCAAGGAUCAACAUCCCCCAUUUGUUUCUCUUUUUCCCAUUUUUUUCCUGCUGAUCUUAAUUGGCUUACCUGCAUUCCUCUACAUUUGACACAUUCCGUUAUUUCUCCUCAUACUUAAGUUUUAAUUUUGUCCUCACGCACGUCAAUUUUAGUUUAAAUUCUUGCCUGGAGGGGCUUUUAUAGUGCUUUCCAGCUGAUUUAAGCUAUAUUAUCAUCUCUUCCUCUGCUCUCUUCUUUUUCCUUUGUGUGUUUUACCUCCACUUUGAUAACUCCAAUUUCAUUUUGCCACUCCAUAGAGAGAGAAAUAGAAAAGAGAUGUGAUUUUUUUGGGAGCAGAAAACAGUAGAAUAUGAGAACCACCAGUUAUGAUAAAGUGAGUGGGUGCAACCAAAACAAUAUAUUGAAAAACGGUUUGAAGCUUUAUGAGCAUAAGAAUAACAGUGUCAACGGCACUGAAGGAAAAACACUUUUGCGGAGUCUUAACACAUUUAUUGUAUAAUUAUAAUGAAUACAAUAUGUGCAUGUUACACAUUGUUGCUAGAGUUAUUCCAAAAGUGAUUACCUCUACAUCUAUUUCCUAAAAGUUUUGGUGGUCGUGAACGCUCUGCAUCUGGAACAUUUUUAGAAGAAGAAGACGAAGAAGAAGACAUACUUUUAUUAAUCCCUUACAGGGAAAUUGCUUUCUCUACUCUGUUGUGUUGACACACAUUAAACACACAGAAGAUAUACAUGCACAAACACAGAGGAAAUACAUGCACACACAACCACAUGCAGAGGAGAGGUGGCAGAGCAGAGAGGCAGCCAGGUACCCGGUGCCAAGGGAGCAGAUAGAGGUUAGGUGCUUUGCUCAAGGAGAGGAGGACUGGCACCUCUCCAGCUACCAGCUCACUCCAUAUUUAAAACAAAUUAACCGACGCACGUGGAGCUGUACUUUUUAUAUGUUUGGUUUUAUUUUUCUUGGCUGAAGGUCAAUUUCAAAAGAAAAAGAAGUUCAUUAUUGUGUUUACUUGUCAGCGUUGGGUUUUCUCUGAGGACAAGUUUGACGUUGUCAUGGUGACCACUUGUACCACAUAACACUCAUGUUCAAAAUAACAUGUUGUUGCUAAGUUAAUAUUUAUAGAAGUAAUUUUAAUUAAGAUUGUAUAAAACACAGUUUUUUUAUUCGAGCUAUCUGCAAGCUAUUUCUGAAUCACAGGCAUGUAUCUGGAUGUCUGUUCUGGGUCAAGUGUGUGUGUGUGUUUGUGUGUGAACUAGUGCUGUCAAAGUUAACGCGUUAAUUUUGGGGAUUCAUUUUAAACAUUUAAUGCAUUCAUUUUUUUUAACGCAAUUAACGUGGCUUUGUUUACUUCCGGUGGCGGCUGACACAUAACCUUUGGUCACGUGCGCGGGCAAACCGGCAAACAUUUAUCCUAACUAGAGGAGAGUCUUUGGCGGAAAGAUGGCUAAGGAAGGACUAUUAGGGGGAACGUUUCAUUUUAAAAAGUUGCCCGACGGCUCGUUGGACAAAGCAAAAGCAAUUUGCACAGUUUGCAAAGCCGAAUUUAGAAGUAACACGUCUUUAGCGUAUCACUUCAAAGCAAAGCACCCUACUGAAAUUACCUCCACGGGACCGCGCCAGUCUACACUAUAGGAGUGUGGCACUCGUGGGCGAAUAACGAAACUAACUGAAAAGUUAACCAAUUCCUUGGUUACUUGGAUAGUUAAAAACUGCCGCCCAGUUAGCAUAGUAGAGGAUGAUGGACUGAGAGAAGUAAUUCGUGUUGCAUCGGGAGAUACCUCUAGUAGUUUACCCUCGAGAGGAACCAUCGUAUCAAGAAUACACACGUUGUAUGAGGAUCAGAGGGCUCAGCGGACGAACAUUCUUGAGCAAGCAAAGCACAUCGCUGUAACAGGUGACCACUGGACGUCUGUCAACAACGAUAAUUAUUUGGGCGUCACGGCGCAUUUCAUUGAUCAAGACUGGACUCUGCAGUCGUUUGCACUUACUGUGAGUAAAACCGAGGAGUGACAUUAUGCCGAGGCACGUGCUAACCAUUUUCUGGAUGUUGCAAACGAAUGGGAAAUCAAGGAAAAGUUGACCACACUCGGCACUGACAGCGCUCGUAACAUGGUAGCUGCCGCGAGGGUACUUCCAUUUGAAUACCUGCCUUGCAUGGCCCACUCUCUGCAAAGAACGGUCACAGUCUCACUUAAAGACAGUGGAUUUGAAAGUGUUCUGGCCAAAUGUCGCAAGAUUGUCGGGCACUUUAAGCAUAGUCCAUCUAACGCUCAGGAAUUAAACGAACAGCAGGUUGCACACGGACUUAAGCAAGAAUCACUUGCUCAGGACGUUGCAACAAGAUGGAAUUCUACACUGGAGAUGGUAAAGAGGAUGCAGAGAAACAAAUCUCCACUGACCUCUACCCUGGCGCAGCAAAAGAGCAAGGUUGCCAGGUUGACUGACCAGGAGCUUGCCAAACUGCAAAAGCUGGAGGAACUACUGGAACCUUGCAGAUAUGUGACUGAACUGCUGGAGGGAGAGCAGUAUGUCUCCUGUUCAGUGGUCUUGCCAGCCUUACGCCACUUGUUCAGAGUUAUGGAGCCCUCAGACGAUGAUCCAGUUUAUGUUCUGAGGUUCAAGAAGGUCUUUACCACAGACCUAGCUCAACGGAAGGACAGCACCAACCUCAAAUGGCCCUUGACCCUAGGUUUAAAGACCUUAAGUGCCUUCCAAAAGAUGAAAGGAGUGAGGUGUGGGCUUCAGUACGUGACCUGAUGAUGAGAGAGACACCAGCCCAACAACCAGCUGCUGAGACAACAGAGGAGCCGUCACCAAAGAAGAGGAGGAGGAUGUCCAUCUUGCUGUGUUCUUCUGAUUCAGAUACAGAUGACGAGGAGGAGUCCAUAGAGCAUUGUCUGGAUCGCUACAAAGCAGAGCCAAAAAUGGACAUAGAAGGGUGUCCACUACAAUGGUGGUCAAAGAGAGAGGGAGCACAUGCCCGGCUGGCACCCAUUGCACGCAAGUACCGCUCAACCCCUGCAACCACAGUGCCUCAGGCCACAUUAUUCAAAAGAAGCGAUGCUUCUUUGUCCCCUGAGAACGUAAACAAACUGGUCUGCCUCAGCAACUGGCUGAAAGUAAAGAAGGACUCAGUAAAUUAUCUUUUUGGAGUGAAAAAUGUUCAAUGUUCAACGUUCUUAUUUUUUGUAUUUGCACUUUGCAUGUGUGCACUUUAAGCCAUUAAAAUGGUCUUUGAAUUUAAA